UAUAUUAAAGUUGUUGCAGUUAAAAAGCUCGUAGUUGGAUUUCAGUCUUAAUUCGUCUGGCCCGCUCCCUUGAGGAGCCGAGUGCCGGUUGCGAAUUGGACUUCCUUCUAGCAUGAAUCUCCUACCGUUAUGCGGCCGGGAAGGACAUCUGGAUCAUUUACUUUGAAGAAAUUAGAGUGUUCAAAGCAAGCUUACGCUGUGAAUAUAUUAGCAUGGAAUAAUAACAUAGGACUCGGGUUCUAUUUUGUUGGUUUCUAGGACUCAAGUAAUGAUUGAUAGGGACAGUUGGGGGUGCUGCUAUUAUAUGGCCAGAGGUGAAAUUCACGGAUUCAUAUAAGAGCAACUUAUGCGAAAGCAUUCACCAAGGAUGUCUUCUUUAAUCAAGAACGAAAGUUGGGGGAUCGAAGACGAUCAGAUACCGUCGUAGUCUCAACCAUAAACUAUGCCGACUAGGGAUUGGUGGACGUUGAAUUUCCGACUCCAUCAGCACCUCAUGAGAAAUCAAAGUCUUUGGGUUCCGGAGGGAGUAUGGUCGCAAGGCU
rnacentral:rRNA from 1 species